GAUGAACGCUGGCGGCGUGCCUAAUACAUGCAAGUCGAGCGAACAGACGAGGAGCUUGCUCCUCUGACGUUAGCGGCGGACGGGUGAGUAACACGUGGCUAACCUACCUAUAAGACUGGGAUAACUUCGGGAAACCGGAGCUAAAACCGGAUAAUAUAUUGCACCGCAUGGUUCGAUAGUGCAAGACGGCUCUGCUUUCACUUAUAGGAUGAUCCGCGCCGCAUUAGCUAGUUGGUUAGGUAACGGCUUACCAAGGCAACGAUGCGUAGCCGACCUGAGAGGGUGAUCGGCCACACUGGAACUGAGACACGGUCCAGACUCCUACGGGAGGCAGCAGUAGGGAAUCUUCCGCAAUGGGCGAAAGCCUGACGGAGCAACGCCGCGUGAGUGAUGAAGGUCUUCGGAUCGUAAAACUCUGUUAUUAGGGAAGAACAAAUGUGUAAGUAACUAUGCGCGUCUUGACGGUACCUAAUCAGAAAGCCACGGCUAACUACGUG
rnacentral:rRNA from 1 species